rnacentral:rRNA from 1 species
UACGGGGGGAGCAAGCGUUGUUCGGAUUUACUGGGCGUAAAGGGCGCGUAGGCGGCCACCGCAAGUCGACUGUGAAAUCUCCGGGCUUAACCCGGAAAGGUCAGCCGAUACUGCGGGGCUAGAGUGCAGAAGGGGCAACUGGAAUUCUCGGUGUAGCGGUGAAAUGCGUAGAUAUCUGGAGGAACACCGAUGGCGAAGGCAGCCCCCUGGGCUGACACUGACGCUCAUGCACGAAAGCGUGGGGAGCAAACAGG